rnacentral:rRNA from 1 species
ACACGCAUGACACACUGCAUAUCAAUAAGCGGAGGAAAAGAAACUAACAAGGAUUCCCCUAGUAACGGCGAGUGAAGCGGGAAGAGCUCAAAUUUGAAAUCUUAAAGGGUUUCCCUUUACGAAUUGUAGUUUAAAGAAGUGUUUUCUGUUGGAGUUUCGGUAAAAGUUCUUUGGAAUAGGACAUCAUAGAGGGUGAGAAUCCCGUAUUUGACCGUUACUUUCCAGCUGUGUGAUACACUUUCAAAGAGUCGGAUUGUUUGGGAAUGCAGUCCAAAAUGGGUGGUAAAUUUCAUCUAAAGCUAAAUAUUGGCGAGAGACCGAUAGCGAACAAGUACCGUGAGGGAAAGAUGAAAAGAACUUUGAAAAGAGAGUUAAACAGUACGUGAAAUUGUCAAAAGGGAAGCGUUUGACACCAGUGUUGUUUUCUCGAAAAUCAAUUAAAAAAGGCCGGACUUUGUGUUGUAUUGACCUUAAAAGCUUUCUUCACUCUUUUCUUGUCUUUUUUAAUGCACUUUUCGUUUAACAAGUCAACAUCAGUUUCUUUUGUUGUAAAAGGGUAUGAGGAAGGUGGCUUUCUUUUCGGAGAAAGUGUUUAUAGCCUUGUACCUCUGCAAUCGGAGAGAUUGAGGUCUGCAGCGUAGAUCCUUCGGGGUUAGAUACAUUUGUGCUAAGUUAUAGCCUUUCAUAGACAACUUGUUGACUAUGUUCAGUCAUUGUAGCUUACUCGCUUAUGCUAUUUUACCUACGCUUAGGAUGUUGACUGAUAUGUAGUCGU